GACGAACGCUGGCGGCGUGCUUAACACAUGCAAGUCGAACGAGUGGCGAACGGGUGAGUAAUACGGGAGUAACCUGCCCUCUUUUUGGGAUAAGCCUUGGGAUCGGGGUCUAAUACCGGAUAAAGGGGGAUGGGCUCGCGGCCUAUCAGCUUGUUGGUGGGGUGAUGGCCGACUAAGGCGGUGCCGGUUAGCCGGCCUGAGAGGGGGACCGGGAACAGUGGGACGGAGAUACGGACCAGACUCGUACGGAGGGCAGCAGUUGGGGGGAUUGCAGAAUGGGCGAAAGCCGGAUGCAGCGACGCCGCGUGGGGGAUGAAGGCUUUGUGGUUGUAAACCUCUUUCGCUAGCGAACGGGUAGGUGGAGAAGAAGCGCCGGCUAACUACGUGCCAGCAGCCGCGGUAAUAC
rnacentral:rRNA from 1 species